rnacentral:rRNA from 1 species
UGCGUAGGGUGCAAGCGUUGUCCGGAAUUAUUGGGCGUAAAGAGCUCGUAGGCGGUUUGUUGCGUCGGCUGUGAAAUCCCGAGGCUCAACCUCGGGUCUGCAGUCGAUACGAGCAAACUAGAGUGUUGCAGGGGAGACUGGAAUUCCUGGUGUAGCGGUGAAAUGCGCAGAUAUCAGGAGGAACACCGGUGGCGAAGGCGGGUCUCUGGGCAACAACUGACGCUGAGGAGCGAAAGCGUGGGGAGCGAACAGG